rnacentral:sRNA from 1 species
GAAGUUCUUGAGAAAGAAUGUAUAGGAGGACCAAGGAAAUAAAUACCAGAAAUCAAGAAGAGCACAGACCAUUUUCCUUCAUCAAUCCAUAGAACCCUAA